CUCCCUUCCAUCUCUACCCUGUCUCAUUACCAUCUCUCCCCUGUCUUCCUUCCAUCUCUACCCUGUCUCAUUACCAUCUCUCCCCUGACCAAGAAGGGCCUUCGUCAGGGAGGUGACCAAGAACCCGAUGGUCACUCUGACAGAGCUCCAGAGUUCCUCUGUGGAGAUGGGAGCACUUUCCAGAAGGACCUUUAUGAUACUUGGCGCUGUACAAACGACUGAUCCUCAAGAUCAUGAGGCUCGGACCAGGUGACGUUCCUUAAACUAUUCACUUCACUUUAUUCCCAAAUAUUUGGUCAUUACUGACUGAGAAAUAAUAAUAUCACAUCUUCAUCAGAGGAGCAAUGUUUUUGGUAAAUAUGCUACAUAUUACAGGACAUCUUGCUAUGCUAUGGCUAGUUUAAGAUGUAGCCUGUAGUCUUUUUCAUCAUAUGGCUAAAUGAGGAACGUUUUAUUUAUUAUUUAUUUAUUAGUGGCCAUCCAUCCUUUUCGGAGGACAAAAAUAAACAUUGUCGUCACAUGUACUGUACAUUCUACACAUGUUACAUAAAUGGCUUUUUAUUUUAUUUUUUACAGUAGUUACAUAGCAAGAAUACAGUAAUUGAAUAUUUGGAUAUACAUUGCAUCUACUGUAGAUACAGUGGCUUGCAAAAGUAUUCACCCCUCUUGGCAUUUUUCCUAUUUUGUUGCCUUACAACCUGGAAUUAAAAUGGAUUUUUGGGGGGUUUGUAUCAUUUGAUUUACACAACAUGCUUACCACUUUGAAGAUGCAAAAUAAUUUUGGGGGUGAAACAAGAAGGCAAAAAAAAAUGAAAACUUGAGCGUGCUUGAGUGUUGUUUUAGCAGUGUGCUUAGAGUCAUUGUCCUGCUGGAAGGUGAACCUCCGACCUCGCUUGGUUCAUGAGUUUUGGUGGGCGGCCCUCUCUUGGCAGGUUUGUUGUGGUGCCAUAUUCUUUCCAUUUUUUAAUAAUGGAUUUAAAUGGUGCUCCAUGGGAUGUUCAAAGUUUCGGAUAUUAUUUUAUAACCAACCCCUGAUCUGUACAUCUCCACAACUUUGUCCCUAACCUGUUUGGAGAGCUCCUUGGUCUUCAUGGUGCCACUUGCUUGGUGUUGACCCUUGUUUAGUGGUGUUGCAGACUCUGGGGCCUUUCAGGACAGGUGUAUAUCAACUGAGAUCAUGUGACACUUAGGUUGCCCACAUGUGGACCUUAUUUAACUAAUUAUGUGACUUCUGAAGAUAACUGGUUGCACUAUAUCUUAUUUAGGGGCUUCAUAGCAAACAUAUGCACGCACCACUUUUCUGUUUUCAUUUAUUUAUUUAUUUUCACUUCACCAAUUUGGACUAUUUUGUAUGUCCAUUGCAUGAAAUCCAAUUAAAAAUCUAUUUAAAUUACAGGUGGUAAUGCAACAUAAUAGGAAAAAUGCAAAGGGGGUGAAUACUUUUGCAAGGCACUGUAGAUGGUAUUUAUACAUUAUAAAAUCAUGUUUUCAGUCACAUGACAAAUGUAUUAUAUGCUGUAUUAUAGAUAUUUUCAUCUGACCUAGAUAGCUUGUGUGUAUGCAUUGAUAUGUAGUCUAUCUGUGCCUUUUUUAUGUAUGUAGUUCCGUCCUUGAGCUGUUCAUGUCUAUUAAUGUUCUGUAUUAUGUCAUGGUUCAUGUUUUGUGUGGACCCCAGGAAGAGUAGCUGCUGCUUUUGCAAUAGCUAGUGGGGAUGCUAAUAAAAUGCUAAAUAACAAAUCUAGAUGUGGUCAUUGCUAUUGAUAGUCUCUCUAUUAUCUUGAUAUAAUAGCUAUUACACAGCAUGUCCCUCUGAAAAUCAGUCUGACGAUUCCAUAAACUGAAUUGGAUAGAGUACAUGAGUAUUAUAGUCUUGGAUUCUUCUCCAUACAUCAUCUUCUCCUCCUAGGUGGAGCUGUGAUGCUGCUGGUGUAGUAUUGUAUUCAUCUCCAUACCUCAUCUCCUCCUCCUCCUACGUAGGUGGCGCUGUGAUGCUGCUGGUGUAUCAAUACGUAUCUGGAUGGUUAAAUAAGAACUGGUGACGAGGAGAAGCCCACCAACCUGCCUUAAGGUGCCCACCAGUCUGCCUGAUGAAGCCCACCAGUCUGCCUUAAGGUGCUCACCAGUCUGCCUGAUGAAGCCCACCAACCUGCCUUAAGGUGCCCACCAGUCUGCCUUAAGGUGCCCACCAGUCUGCCUGAUGAAGCCCAUCAACCUGCCUGAAG
ensembl:lncRNA